ACUGGUUAGGCUCUUGGGAAC
rnacentral:miRNA from 1 species